rnacentral:rRNA from 1 species
AGAAUCAACGCUGGCGGCGUGCCUAACACAUGCAAGUCGCACGAGAAAGCGGAGCAAUCCGUGAGUAAAGUGGCGCACGGGUGAGUAACACGUGAAUAAUCUACCUCCGAGUGGGGAAUAACUGAGAGAAAUCUUAGCUAAUACCGCAUAACACUUACGAGUCAAAGCAGCAAUGCGCUUGGAGAGGAGUUCGCGGCCGAUUAGUUAGUUGGCGGGGUAAUGGCCCACCAAGACGAUGAUCGGUAUCCGGCCUGAGAGGGCGCACGGACACACUGGAACUGAAACACGGUCCAGACUCCUACGGGAGGCAGCAGUGGGGAAUUUUGCGCAAUGGGGGAAACCCUGACGCAGCAACGCCGCGUGGAGGAUGAAAUAUCUUGGUAUGUAAACUCCUUUCGAUGGGGAAGAUAAUGACGGUACCCAUAGAAGAAGCCCCGGCUAACUUCGUGCCAGCAGCCGC